rnacentral:rRNA from 1 species
UACAUGGGGCGCAAACGUUGCUCGGAAUUAUUGGGCGUAAAGCGCACGUAGGCGGUUUGUUAAGUCGGAUGUGAAAUCCCUCGGCUCAACUGAGGAAGUGCAUCCGAAACUGGCAAGCUUGAGUACGAAAGAGGGUCGCGGAAUUCCCGGUGUAGAGGUGAAAUUCGUAGAUAUCGGGAGGAACACCGGUGGCGAAGGCGGCGACCUGGGUCGAUACUGACGCUGAGGUGCGAAAGCGUGGGGAGCGAACAGG